rnacentral:rRNA from 2 species
GAGCGGCGAACGGGUGAGUAACACGUGAGUAACCUGCCCCUGACUCUGGGAUAAGCCCGGGAAACUGGGUCUAAUACCGGAUACGACCGCCCCCGGCAUCGGGUGGUGGUGGAAAGUUUUUUCGGUUGGGGAUGGACUCGCGGCCUAUCAGCUUGUUGGUGGGGUAGUGGCCUACCAAGGCGACGACGGGUAGCCGGCCUGAGAGGGCGACCGGCCACACUGGGACUGAGACACGGCCCAGACUCCUACGGGAGGCAGCAGUGGGGAAUAUUGCGCAAUGGGCGGAAGCCUGACGCAGCGACGCCGCGUGGGGGAUGACGGCCUUCGGGUUGUAAACCUCUUUCAGCAGGGACGAAGUUGACGUGUACCUGCAGAAGAAGCGCCGGCUAACUACGUGCCAGCAGCCGCGGUAAUACGUAGGGCGCAAGCGUUGUCCGGAAUUAUUGGGCGUAAAGAGCUCGUAGGUGGCUGGUCGCGUCUGCCGUGAAAGCCCGCAGCUUAACUGCGGGUCUGCGGUGGAUACGGGCCGGCUAGAGGUAGGUAGGGGCAAGUGGAAUUCCU